rnacentral:rRNA from 1 species
GUGGGGAAUUUUGGACAAUGGGCGAAAGCCUGAUCCAGCCAUGCCGCGUGUGUGAAGAAGGUCUUCGGAUUGUAAAGCACUUUAAGUUGGGAGGAAGGGCAGUAAGUUAAUACCUUGCUGUUUUGACGUUACCGACAGAAUAAGCACCGGCUAACUUCGUGCCAGCAGCCGCGGUAAUACGAAGGGUGCAAGCGUUAAUCGGAAUUACUGGGCGUAAAGCGCGCGUAGGUGGUUCAGUAAGUUGGAAGUGAAAUCCCCGGGCUCAACCUGAGAACUGCUUUCAAAACUGCUGAGCUAGAGUACGGUAGAGGGUGGUGGAAUUUCCUGUGUAGCGGUGAAAUGCGUAGAUAUAGGAAGGAACACCAGUGGCGAAGGCGACCACCUGGACUGAUACUGACACUGAGGUGCGAAAGCGUGGGGAGCAAACAGGAUUAGAAACCCGUGUAGUCC